UCGAGAAUCUUCCACAAUGGGCGCAAGCCUGAUGGAGCGACGCCGCGUGCGGGAUGAAGGCCCUUGGGUUGUAAACCGCUGUCAGAGGGGAUGAAAUCACCGGAGGCUAUCCUCCAGUGUUGACAGAGCCUCAGAGGAAGCACGGGCUAAGUUCGUGCCAGCAGCCGCGGUAAGACGAACUGUGCGAACGUUAUUCGGAAUCACUGGGCUUAAAGGGUGCGUAGGCGGCCGACCAGGUCAGGUGUGAAAUCCCCCGGCCCAACCGGGGAACUGCACUUGAAACCGGCCGGCUUGAGUGAGACAGGGGUGUGCGGAACUGCCAGUGGAGCGGUGAAAUGUGUUGAUAUUGGCAGGAACGCCGGUGGCGAAAGCGGCACACUGGGUCUCAACUGACGCUGAGGCACGAAAGCCAGGGGAGCGAACGGGAUUAGAUACCCCCGUAGUCC
rnacentral:rRNA from 1 species